rnacentral:rRNA from 1 species
AUACGUAGGGAGCAAGCGUUGUCCGGAUUUACUGGGUGUAAAGGGUGCGUAGGCGGCUAUGCAAGUCAGGCGUGAAAACUAUGGGCUUAACCCAUAGCCUGCGUUUGAAACUGCGUAGCUUGAGUGAAGUAGAGGCAGAUGGAAUUCCCGGUGUAGCGGUGGAAUGCGUAGAGAUCGGGAGGAACACCAGUGGCGAAGGCGGUCUGCUGGGCUUUAACUGACGCUGAGGCACGAAAGUGUGGGGAGC